rfam:Physcomitrella patens subsp. patens PHYPAscaffold_428 genomic scaffold, whole genome shotgun sequence.
UAAGAGGCUUUUUUAAAAGCCAUAUUUAGAUGUCUUGAAUUCUUAU